UUUUAUGGAUGAGGAAAAAAAGUGGUUUGUUGAGAUGGAAUCUGCUUUUGGUGAAGAUGCUGAGAA
rnacentral:pre_miRNA from 1 species